AUACCACGUUGGCUGUCAGAAAUGCACACUGCAGUAAGGCGGUAUUUGAGAUAUAUUUUAGAAGUGCCUAGACAAAAUGUGCUCCUUGUCGUGUGCAGUAACCAUCGCAAACCCUCCGGACUCGUGUAACGCCGUUAGUUCGCCGUGUGUUUCGUGCGAUCUACCAGUGUCGACAGUGAGUGUCUUACUACAGCGCCCGUCCGAGAGCUGCCUUUGUUCUGCCCACGCUCCCGUGAAAAGUCUGGUACUGGAGCUUCGAAUCGUAGUGUAUGGAAGGCUGUUGAAGGUUGUGCUUUUGUGGAGCUGGAGUUCAUCGGAAGUUCCACAGUGCUUGCGCCAGAAAGACGUCGGUGCCUCGGUACCUUUGAGACGAAGGAGCGUUGGCCAAGUCUUUUUGAAAGGCUAUGCGGAUUCUGGAGGCAUCCCUACAUCGAGCAGGAACCUGCUGCACUGCUGGAAGCUGGACAGCACGACAAUAAAGCACGUGAUCUGUGUGCUUUCUCAAAGGUAGACAUCGGCGACGGUGUAUAUGGUGAAAAGGGCCUGCUGAAGAGGCUGCGCCUGGAUGCUAACAACUCGGGCUUUCAGUUUGCGGGGGGGCCUCCUUAAGGCUCCUUUUACAAAAGAAGAGGUUGAAGGGAGGCGCUACACAUGGAUGCGCAGCGAUUGUUUGUGAGAGCGUCACUGGCCUGCCUUUUCGCUUUGUUCUGGGUUUUCCACGUUACCUACUCGAAAAAGGCCCACAGGAUUUUGAUAUUUAUUGAGCACUGCUUUCUGGACUUUUGCUACACAAAGCCGCAGGUGAAAGCAUUGGAUUUAGUCAAUUUUUACAAGAACUAUUGCUAGGCAAAAAAAUUUUCAGAUGCAUAUCCUCAAGAAAGUUUCUGUCAAAAUUAUUUUGCCUAACAAAAGCACUCGUGGGUUCUGUGGCUGACAGGUUGCCCAAGCCAUGUAGCACAGUGCUUGCUUUAAAGGGACACGAAAAAGAAAAUUUAUUUGAGCUUUAUUAAAUCAUUCUUCUACAACACCGAAAAAACAACUC